UUCGGGUUUAGUGGCGCACGGGUGCGUAACGCGUGGGAAUCUGCCCCUUGGUUCGGAAUAACAGUUGGAAACGACUGCUAAUACCGGAUGAUGACGUAAGUCCAAAGAUUUAUCGCCGAGGGAUGAGCCCGCGUAGGAUUAGGUAGUUGGUGUGGUAAAGGCGCACCAAGCCGACGAUCCUUAGCUGGUCUGAGAGGAUGAUCAGCCACACUGGGACUGAGACACGGCCCAGACUCCUACGGGAGGCAGCAGUGGGGAAUAUUGGACAAUGGGCGAAAGCCUGAUCCAGCAAUGCCGCGUGAGUGAUGAAGGCCUUAGGGUUGUAAAGCUCUUUUACCCGGGAUGAUAAUGACAGUACCGGGAGAAUAAGCUCCGGCUAACCCCGUGCCAGCAGCCGCGGUAAUACGGAGGGAGCUAGCGUUAUUCGGAAUUACUGGGCGUAAAGCGCACGUAGGCGGCUUUGUAAGUAAGAGGUGAAAGCCCAGAGCUCAACUCUGGAAUUGCCUUUUAGACUGCAUCGCUUGAAUCAUGGAGAGGUCAGUGGAAUUCCGAGUGUAGAGGUGAAAUUCGUAGAUAUUCGGAAGAACACCAGUGGCGAAGGCGGCUGACUGGACAUGUAUUGACGCUGAG
rnacentral:rRNA from 1 species